CGAAUCCUGACACAGGGAGGUAGUGACAAGAAAUAACAAUACAGGGCUACUUCUAGUCUUGUAAUUGGAAUGAGUACAACUUACAUCUCUUCACGAGGAUCAAUUGGAGGGCAAGUCUGGUGCCAGCAGCCGCGGUAAUUCCAGCUCCAAUAGCGUAUAUUAAAGUUGUUGCAGUUAAAAAGCUCGUAGUCGGAUUUCGGGGCGGGCCGAGCGGUCUGCCGAUGGGUAUGCACUGUUCGGCGCGUCCUUCUUUCCGGAGACUAGUUCUACUCUUAACUGAGCGGGACUGGGAGACGGAUCGUUUACUUUGAAAAAAUCAGAGUGUUUCAAGCAGGCAGCUCGCUCUUGCAUGGAUUAGCAUGGGAUAAUGAAAUAGGACUCUGGUGCUAUUUUGUUGGUUUCGAACACCGGAGUAAUGAUUAACAGGGACAGUCAG
rnacentral:rRNA from 1 species